GAUGAACGCUGGCGGCGUGCCUAAUACAUGCAAGUCGAGCGAAUGGAUUAAGAGCUUGCUCUUAUGAAGUUAGCGGCGGACGGGUGAGUAACACGUGGGUAACCUGCCCAUAAGACUGGGAUAACUCCGGGAAACCGGGGCUAAUACCGGAUAACAUUUUGAACCGCAUGGUUCGAAAUUGAAAGGCGGCUUCGGCUGUCACUUAUAGAUGGACCCGCGUCGCAUUAGCUAGUUGGUGAGGUAACGGCUCACCAAGGAAACGAUGCGUCGCCGACCUGAGAGGGUGAUCGGCCACACUGGGACUGAGACACGGCCCAGACUCCUAUGGGAGGCAGCAGUAGGGAAUCUUCCGCAAUGGACGAAAGUCUGACGGAGCAACGCCGCGUGAGUGAUGAAGGCUUUCGGGUCGUAAAACUCUGUUGUUAGGGAAGAACAAGUGCUAGUUGAAUAAGCUGGCACCUUGACGGUACCUAACCAGAAAGCCACGGCUAACUACGUGCCAGCCGCCGCCGUAA
rnacentral:rRNA from 1 species